rnacentral:lncRNA from 11 species
GCCACAGAUGUCGAAAUAUUGAUCGAAAUAAUCAAUGUACCACAACUCAAACUACCUGUGAAACAAAUGGAUAUUGCAUUGUUAGAAGAUUUUCCAAUGGAGGAACUCAUUUCGUUACAAGAGAUUGCAGCAUGGCAUGCUGGAGUAUCACAAGCUUAACGCGUUUUAGAAUAAGACAAACGUGGUGUUGUGAAGAGGAUUAUUGUAAUACAUACGAUGCUUGGUCCCAUGUUUAUGGAGAUUAAACUCAUCUUGGUUUUGUCAGAAUUCAUUUCAUUAUUUUGUGGCAAGAUAUUUCC